rnacentral:tRNA from 1 species
AGGAAAGUGUUUGGACUGUUGCUGCUAACAAUAGUUGUGAGUUUUUGUAGGGCUCGACUUUCUUU